rnacentral:rRNA from 1 species
GAUGAACGCUGGCGGCGUGCCUAAUACAUGCAAGUCGAGCGAACAGACGAGGAGCUUGCUCCUCUGACGUUAGCGGCGGACGGGUGAGUAACACGUGGAUAACCUACCUAUAAGACUGGGAUAACUUCGGGAAACCGGAGCUAAUACCGGAUAAUAUAUUGAACCGCAUGGUUCAAUAGUGAAAGACGGUUUUGCUGUCACUUAUAGAUGGAUCCGCGCCGCAUUAGCUAGUUGGUAAGGUAACGGCUUACCAAGGCAACGAUGCGUAGCCGACCUGAGAGGGUGAUCGGCCACACUGGAACUGAGACACGGUCCAGACUCCUACGGGAGGCAGCAGUAGGGAAUCUUCCGCAAUGGGCGAAAGCUUGACGGAGCAACGCCGCGUGAGUGAUGAAGGUCUUCGGAUCGUAAAACUCUGUUAUUAGGGAAGAACAAAUGUUUAAGUAACUAUGCACGUCUUGACGGUACCUAAUCAGAAAGCCACGGCUAACUACGUG